GGAGAGUUGGCCGAGCGGUCGAAGGCGCACGAUUGGAAAUCGUGUAAGCGUGAUAAGCGUUUCGAGGGUUCGAAUCCCUUGCUCUCCGCCA
rnacentral:tRNA from 1 species